UACAGAGGUCUCAAGCGUUAUUCGGAUUCACUGGGCGUAAAGCGUACGCAGGCUGUUCGUUAAGUCGGGUGUGAAAGCCCGGGGCUCAACCCCGGAACUGCGCCCGAAACUGGCGAGCUUGAGUGCGGGAGAGGGAAGCGGAAUUCCUGGUGUAGAGGUGAAAUUCGUAGAUAUCAGGAGGAACACCGGUGGCGAAGGCGGCUCACUGGCCCGGUACUGACGCUGAGGUGCGAAAGCGUGGGGAGCAAACAGG
rnacentral:rRNA from 1 species